CCUACGGGAGGCUGCAGUGAGGAAUAUUGGUCAAUGGACGCAAGUCUGAACCAGCCAAGUAGCGUGCAGGAUGACGGCCCUCCGGGUUGUAAACUGCUUUUAGUUGGGAAUAAAAGGGGGCUCGUGAGCCCCGUAUUGUAUGUACCAUCAGAAAAAGGACCGGCUAAUUCCGUGCCAGCAGCCGCGGUAAUACGGAAGGUCCGGGCGUUAUCCGGAUUUCUUGGGUUUAAAGGGAGCGUAGGCCGGCUUUUAAGUCAGCUGUGAAAGUUCGCGGGCCAACCGGUGAAUUGCAGUUGAAAACGGAGGGCUUGCGGACACACAGGGAUGCCGGAAUUCAUGGUGUAGCGGUGAAAUGCUUAGAUAUCAUGAAGAACUCCGAUCGCGAAGGCAAGUGUCCGGGGUGCAACUGACGCUGAGGCUCGAAAGUGCGGGUAUCAAACAGGAUUAGAUACCCGAGUAGUC
rnacentral:rRNA from 1 species